rnacentral:lncRNA from 1 species
AUUUCAUAUUACUAUUUAAAAACUAAAUUUCUACCAAGAUUUAAAAUACAGUUUAUUCGCACCAGUUUAAAACGUAAUGCAUAAAAAACUUAGAGAGUAAGAUUUCUACAACUAGAUUUCUCUAGAGAAAUUUCAUAUUACUAUUUAAAUUUUAAAUUCAAUAAUUUAAAAACUAGAUUGAACCGAUUAAUUUGAAUGAUCAGACUUUGACCUAUUCUAUCAAGAAUCUGAUUUUAACCUAUUGAACCGAAUAACAUUAAGAAUAAUUUGGAACAAUUUGGAACCGGUAAAGAUAAUAAAUAUUUUUAACAGAAUGAUAAUUUAACUGUUAGAGCUAAUAAAAAUUUUAAAUAUAAUUUUAAACAUAUAAAUUAAAAAGAUUAUAAUUAUUGGUGAGAAAAAAAUAGUUAGAAAUUUGAAUUCGAAUCUGACUAACAAUCACAAAACUUAUUUCCGAACUCGACGGAUUUCAAAAAUCCAUAUCCAAAUUCAAAACUGACCAAUUUUUCGAAACCCAAAACCAAACCUAAACCAGAAGACUAGAAUUCAAACAAUUAUUUCUGUUUACCAUAUUUCAAAGUAUUUAUAUGAAACUUAAAUUUUUAAAAUAUAAAUUUGAAUAUAAUAUUAAAUUUUUAAUUUAAAAGUGAAAUUUAAAUUAGAGAAAUUUUAUAUUACUAUUUAAAGUUUAAAUUCAAUGAUUAUAUUGUCAAAUCAUUUGAAAAUUUUCUUAUAUGAAAUACCAAAUUAUGAAAGGAAAGAUAGAGAGAGCAAAAGGAAACAAAGAAAAAAUAAAAAUUUUGAAAAUAUAGUAGAUGUAAUGACUAAAUUGUCCAUGUAUUAAAAGACAAAAAUAUCCCUUUUUGAGGUACCUGGUAACCGGUACCUCUCCCAAAGUGACCUGCUAUUGCAGGUCACAAUUUUAAAAAAACUAAAUCUGAGU